rnacentral:rRNA from 1 species
GAUGAACGCUGGCGGCGUGCUUAACACAUGCAAGUCGAACGAAGCACUUUAGUUGAUUUCUUCGGAUUGAUUCUAAAGUGACUUAGUGGCGGACGGGUGAGUAACGCGUGGGUAACCUGCCUCACACAGGGGGAUAACAGUUAGAAAUGACUGCUAAUACCGCAUAAGACCACAGCACCGCAUGGUGCAGGGGUAAAAACUCCGGUGGUGUGAGAUGGACCCGCGUCUGAUUAGCUAGUUGGUGGGGUAACGGCCUACCAAGGCGACGAUCAGUAGCCGACCUGAGAGGGUGACCGGCCACAUUGGGACUGAGACACGGCCCAAACUCCUACGGGAGGCAGCAGUGGGGAAUAUUGCACAAUGGGCGAAAGCCUGAUGCAGCGACGCCGCGUGAAGGAUGAAGUAUUUCGGUAUGUAAACUUCUAUCAGCAGGGAAGAAAAUGACGGUACCUGACUAAGAAGCCCCGGCUAACUACGUG